GUAUAAAGUGGGAUCCAGUGAAGGCAGGCCUGUUUGACUCCGAUUUUCUCUUCUUCCAGCAGCUUGAAAUUUCAGAAGAAAGAGAAGAGGAAGAAGGUGGCAGAGCCCUGUGAGAGGGCACUGGAGAACACGUUCUUGUUUUGCAGUUUGGUCACUGUGUAAACGUGAAUUGAGUAGAGCUUCAUGGGGUUGCACAGGAGCCUGCACUUCUCCUGGGAGCAUGGGAAAGGCAAGAGGGGCCAAUGACCACGAGAUGACCACUUCCGUAGGGGAAACACUCUCUGGGUACAAGAUAAAAGUCUGUGGAAGGAAAGAUGGAUCCAGUAAGAAGGUGUAAGCAAGAAUUCAAUAAAUGUGUGCUGAACAAAUAAUCCAGGUUUUUCAAUUCUCCAAUCAAAUUCAACAGAAAGUCAUUGACUACCUGCAGAUUGUAAGAUGGCUUUUGGGGUUGUGGAAAAUUCUGCCUCCUCUUUCUGCCAUACUGGAACUGGCAAGAUUUCUCAAAUCAGCAGGCUGCAGCUGGUGCUUAGAGGCUUAUUCACUGCACAAAAGCCAUGGUCACGGGUACCUCCAGGCUCAUAUCCUCAUUUCCAGAGAAGAAGGGGGCUCUUCUCUCUCAGCCCCAAAUGGAAUCCCUGGAGAAAGACUCGGGAGAGUCCAGCGUGGCCCCAAGUUUACCCUUCAACCAGCUGUGGUGGUCAGAGCUUAGCGAGGGCUUGAUCCCUCUGAACUGGAUCACAUGAUGACAGCAAGGCAGUUUCUAUCCUGCAAAGCUUCAAGAGGACUUGCUGGCCCCAAGGAUCCCAGAUCGUGGUGGCAUAAACACCUCUGAAGGCUUCUGGGAAAAGGUCAGUUCAACUGCCUUUCUUCUCUGUCUCUUCCUUCCUUGCUUGAUCCCCUGGGAGACUC
rnacentral:lncRNA from 1 species